AAGCCACGGCUAACUACGUGCCAGCAGCCGCGGUAAUACGUAGGUGGCAAGCGUUGUCCGGAUUUAUUGGGCGUAAAGCGAGCGCAGGCGGUUUCUUAGGUCUGAUGUGAAAGCCUUCGGCUUAACCGGAGAAGUGCAUCGGAAACCAGGAGACUUGAGUGCAGAAGAGGACAGUGGAACUCCAUGUGUAGCGGUGAAAUGCGUAGAUAUAUGGAAGAACACCAGUGGCGAAGGCGGCUGUCUGGUCUGUAACUGACGCUGAGGCUCGAAAGCAUGGGUAGCGAACAGGAUUAGAUACCCUGGUAGUCCAUGCCGUAAACGAUGAGUGCUAAGUGUUGGAGGGUUUCCGCCCUUCAGUGCUGCAGCUAACGCAUUAAGCACUCCGCCUGGGGAGUACGACCGCAAGGUUGAAACUCAAAGGAAUUGACGGGGGCCCGCACAAGCGGUGGAGCAUGUGGUUUAAUUCGAUGCUACGCGAAGAACCUUACCAGGUCUUGACAUCUUCUGCCAACCUAAGAGAUUAGGCGUUCCCUUCGGGGACAGAAUGACAGGUGGUGCAUGGUUGUCGUCAGCUCGUGUCGUGAGAUGUUGGGUUAAGUCCCGCAACGAGCGCAACCCUUAUUGUUAGUUGCCAGCAUUCAGUUGGGCACUCUAGCAAGACUGCCGGUGACAAACCGGAGGAAGGUGGGGAUGACGUCAAAUCAUCAUGCCCCUUAUGACCUGGGCUACACACGUGCUACAAUGGACGGUACAACGAGUCGCGAAACCGCGAGGUCAAGCUAAUCUCUUAAAGCCGUUCUCAGUUCGGAUUGUAGGCUGCAACUCGCCUACAUGAAGUUGGAAUCGCUAGUAAUCGUGGAUCAGCAUGCCACGGUGAAUACGUUCCCGGGCCUUGUACACACCGCCCGUCACACCAUGAGAGUUUGUAACACCCAAAGCCGGUGAGGUAACCUUCGGGGACCAGCCGUCUAAGGUGGGACAGAUGAUUAGGGUGAAGUCGUAACAAGGUAGCCGUAGGAGAACCUGCGGCUG
rnacentral:rRNA from 1 species